AGCGAACGCUGGCGGCAGGCUUAACACAUGCAAGUCGAACGCACCUUUCGGGGUGAGUGGCAGACGGGUGAGUAACGCGUGGGAAUCUACCCUUCUCUACGGGAUAGCUCCGGGAAACUGGAAUUAAUACCGUAUACGUCCUGAGGGAGAAAGAUUUAUCGGGGAAGGAUGAGCCCGCGUUGGAUUAGCUAGUUGGUGGGGUAAAGGCCUACCAAGGCGACGAUCCAUAGCUGGUCUAAGAGGAUGAUCAGCCACAUUGGGACUGAGACACGGCCCAAACUCCUACGGGAGGCAGCAGUGGGGAAUAUUGGACAAUGGGCGCAAGCCUGAUCCAGCCAUGCCGCGUGAGUGAUGAAGGCCCUAGGGUUGUAAAGCUCUUUCAGUGGGGACGAUAAUGACGGUACCCACAGAAGAAGCCCCGGCUAACUUCGUGCCUGCCGCCGCGGUAACAC
rnacentral:rRNA from 1 species